CUUCUCAAGAAAUUAGUGUGGUAAUCACUACAUUAUAAAUAAGCUUGUGUGAUUACUGUUACAUGAAGACAAUACAUGAGGAUGGAAGGUUAACAAUAUCAGCCAAGACUUGCCACAUAAUAAAUGCUGAGCUAAAUCACUGUUAAUUUCUGUAUUUUAGGGACAAAAUAUACAGGACUGUUUCUGAGUUCGCAACAAGAAGAUUCUGCUACCUGUCUUCACCUACUAGGAAGGAUUUUAAAUUUUCUGUGGAAUGGUGGAUGUCAUGUUACAAUGGGUAUUCAUUUCUGUACUUGGGAUUCAGAAUAAUGAGAAAGAUGUGCACGAUGACACACAACUGGACUUCUAGAACUUAGGAAGCUGAGGCAGGAGGAUCAUAAAUUUGAAGCCAGCCUAGUCAAGACAUUGUCUCAAAAAAGUUUGUUUCAGUAAGUAUAUGCCAAUAAUAAACUAUUGUGAGUGCACAGAACAGAAGCAAUUG
rnacentral:lncRNA from 1 species